rnacentral:tRNA from 1 species
GUUGCUGUGGCCAAGUGGUUGAGGGGAAAGACUUGAAAUUUUUUGGAAUUUUCCCGCGCAGGUUCGAAUCCUGCAAACAACA